GCCCAACAUAGCUCAGUUGGUACACCAUGAGACUCUUAAUCUCAGGGUUGUGGGUUCAAGCCCCACAUGGGGCA